rnacentral:lncRNA from 1 species
UUUAUUAAACAUCCAAGAGCGGGUUCGGAUGGAAGGGACGAGGGGCGCACACGCGCCACACGCACACGCGCGCGCAAAGAUAAGGGGGAGAAAAGGCGAUCCCGGGAAGGCAGUGGUCUCCGCUUCGGUUCCUUCUUCCUCCUCCUCCUCUUUUCCUCCUCCUCCUCCUCCUCCUCCUCCUCCUCCUCCUCCUCCUCCUCCUCCUCCUCCACCUCCUCCUGCUCUUCCUCCUCCCUCCUCCUCCUCGCCGGCCUCGAUGGCGGAUCCGCGCCGGGGGAGAGAGAUCACUCACUGCAGGUGCUGACCUGCAGUUGGUGACAGUGCUUUGCUGCCAUGGAAGGCUCCGGACCAUGUCGCCAGCCCAGCAAUCCAUUGCUCGACUUCAUUAACCACAGGAAGACAUUAAGUGAAUGUAAGGACCAGAACAGCCUGGAAACCAUGUGAUGAGCAGCCUUUAAGUUCUGGGCUCUGGUAUAUUUUAUGCCACCUUGACUGUGUAUCAAGCUCUCCUUCCUGGACUCAUUAGAACUGUGUGCCCAAAGGUACCCCUCAACUCUCAGAAGCAAAUAGAGAAUGAUAUAAUUCACUCUGAGAACACCUUUCUGUCUUAUCCAGAGCGUGUCUUAGCUAUUAUGAUUAGGCAUUAGGCAUCCUAUUGUCCUGAAAAUUUCAUGAGAUUCUCCCCCUGCUUGCUAGGAUUAUGUCAAAGUGACUUGUCCCGGGUGCUGUUUUCGCCCAUUAAUACAGCUUGUCUCCUCUCCUUAAUCAUUGCUGGGAAGGCCAACACGGCAAAGGAACCCACAGGCUUAAAAUGGGCAAAUAGUUCGAAACCAUUGCAAACCCUCUGUUGAGAAGGCUUGUGUUGUCUUGCUUCAGGUUCCCCGAGAAGCAGACCCUGAGACAAAGAUUUGAAAGCGAGUAGUUUGCUGGGCACAGGAGCUCGGGAAAGGAGGGAAGUGAACAGGGUAGGGAACAGCUACCAACCGGCAGUUGUGCUACCGAGCAGUUAGUUGAUGAUCGCUGUGGGUGACAAAGCUUACCCUGCUGGAGUACCGGUGUAGCCUAACGUGCUUUGGAGAGAUCUCUCCACAAGAGCGAGAGCCCUGGGUGAUGCACCCAUCCGCGCCUGCCAGCCCUUGCAGAGAGGGUGUGCCUGGCCUUCCCUGCAGACAAAGGGCCGCUGGGGCUGGUGGCUAAAUUGGGUGUGAAGAAGUGGGCAGGACGCCAGACCAGGUGGGCACCCAGGAGGAAAGAGAAGUCUAGAUUCGGAAGCAGACCUGCACUCUAAAAAAAAUACUUUUACUUCUUACUAAGACUACAACCUUGGGCAAGUUGUGGGGCCUCUCUGAGCCUCAGUUUUCCUGUCUGUGAAAUGGAGAUAAUUAAAUAUGCCACCGAUUCCGUUCAGGGGCACGGAGAGGAGUUUUAAAUAAAUGUGAAAUCCAUAGCAUGACACUUGGCACAUAGAUAACAUUCCCGGGUCUUUAGCUUUUUCCUUAGAAGUAUUUGUUGAUCG